rnacentral:snoRNA from 1 species
AUCCCAUGGUGAGGGCAUUUACGCAACAAUUCCUUAAACCUCUCCCAUGCCUCAUACAAAGAUUCCCUUUCAUGCAUGAAAUCCGGUGAUGUCAUUUCUAAGCUU